rnacentral:rRNA from 1 species
UACGUAUGGUGCAAGCGUUAUCCGGAUUUACUGGGUGUAAAGGGAGCGCAGGCGGCACGGCAAGCCUGAUGUGAAAGCCCGCGGCCCAACCGCGGGACUGCAUUGGGAAUUACCGGGCUGGAGUGCCGGAGAGGUAGGCGGAAUUCCUAGUGUAGCGGUGAAAUGCGUAGAUAUUAGGAGGAACACCAGUGGCGAAGGCGGCCUACUGGACGGUGACUGACGCUGAGGCUCGAAAGCGUGGGGAGCAAACAGG